AGGGCGCUGCGAAGUGCGAUAAUCGUUAUGCUCCGUGAACCAAUGGCCUCUUGAACGUGCAUUUCGCUCUUGGGAUAUGCCUGAGAGCACGUCUGCUUCAGUG
rnacentral:rRNA from 1 species